rnacentral:tRNA from 1 species
GGGGGCAUAGCUCAGGGGUAGAGCAUUUGACUGCAGAUCAAGAGGUCCCCGGUUCGAAUCCGGGUGCCCCCU